ACUGAAAGUGCUUGCGCCAGCGGAAGCGGAAGUGAUCCUUCAGUGCCACACUUGUCCUCUUCCUGCAAGCCACUUCCAGCGUCCAUGCUGAUGAGGUCGUCGGAGAACGCCUACCGGCGUUCUGAGUGGCGACCCAAGCCCCUGGAGUUGGAGUUGCGCGACAUCGCCUCGCGUCGCCGUAGAGUUGAAUUAGAUGAGCAUGCCCUAAGGCACAAAUUUAAGGAAGAGGGGUGUGGAAGACACAGAGGAAUGGCUAUGUAAGGACACAGCCAGAAGGCAGUCAUCCAUAAGCCAAUUACAGAGGCAUCACCAGAAACGAACUUUGCUGACACCUUGACCUUGGAUGUCCAGUCUCAAAAAAUGUGAGAAAAUAAAUUUCUAUUGUUCAAACCA